AUCGAACGCUGGCGGCAGGCUUAACACAUGCAAGUCGAGCGGGCACUUUCGGGUGUCCGCUGCGGACGGGUGAGUAACGCGUGGUAACGUGCCCUCUGGUUCGGAAUAACUCAGGGAAACUUGAGCUAAUACCGGAUACGCCCGUUUGGGGAAAGGCUUGCUGCCGGAGGAUCGGCCCGCGUCUGAUUAGCUAGUUGGUGAGGUAACGGCUCACCAAGGCGACGAUCAGUAGCUGGUCUGAGAGGAUGAUCAGCCACACUGGGACUGAGACACGGCGCAGACUCUUACGGGAGGCAGCAGUGGGGAAUAUUGGACAAUGGGCGCAAGCAUGAUCCAGCCAUGACGGGUGAGUGAUGAAGGUCUUAGGGUUGUAAAGCUAUUUUAUACGGGACGAUAAUGACGGUACCGGAGGAAUAAGCCCCGGCUAACUUCGUG
rnacentral:rRNA from 1 species